GGGCGUGGUCUGUGUGGUUGGGGCGGGGCCUGCACGAGUUGGGCUGGUCAGGGCGUGUCUAAGUAGUAUAGCGGGGCCAGGUAGGAAGAGUGAUGGUCCUUAGUGAAGACUGUGAAGGAGAAGAAAAUGGAAGUGAAAGACUUCAGAAGUGGGCAGCCCCGAAUGAAAGACCCCAGGACAAGGAACUGAGAUGUGUGUUCCUGGCCUCCAGGUUCUCCCGGCAUCCUUCAAUCCCUACCUGCUGUCCCCUGCCCUCAACCUGAACUCUCCAGCCCAGGAGUUGGACUGCCCUUCCCCUUCCCCAGAGGGGUGUGUGUGUGUCUGCAAGCACUCUUUCUCUCUCUCCCCCACCUCUCUCUUUUCCCAUGGUGACUUCCCUGAACUCACCUAAGAGCAGCUUCCCAAUGAAUCUGAGUUUAAUAUAA